GAGGGGGAGGGGGAGAGAGAGAGAGAGAGAGAGAGAGAGAGAGAGAGAGAGAGAGGGAAUCCAAAGCACGUUCCAGGCUCUGAGCUGUCAGCACAGAGCCUGACAUGGGACUCAAACUCACGGACCACGAGAUCAUGACCUGGGCUGAAGUUUGACACUCAACUGAUUGAGCCACCCAGGCGCCCCGCAUAAAUCACUCUCUAACAUAGUAUAUAAUUUAUCAUGUUUAUUACUCAUUGUCUAGCUUUUCCUGCUAGACUGUAAUCUCCACAUAGUCAGAUCUUCAUCUGUUUUAUUUACUGACAUGUGGCAAGAGCCUAGAAUAAGGCCUGGGACAUAGCAAUCACUUAAUAAAGAUCUGCUCAAUUAAAACAGAAUGAAAUGAAUGAGACCAGAAGCAACAAAAAAUCAGUUUCUAUGAAGAUAUAACUAUCCAUAGCAAUAUGCUACUUUUUGUAAAGACAAGUUAACUGUGUUUCUUGGAUGGGGCUGUCGAUUUUACAUACAUAGAUAUCUCUAUCUCUCCCUCACUGCUGUCCCUCCCUAUCAGUCUAGAGAGAGAGAGAGUCUAUAAGGGAUAUUAAAUUCAUAGCUAACAUAGCUGACACCAAAAUCAUGUGUCUUUCAACUGAACUUGAUGAAACCUCAUUUCCUGCAGAUCACUUGCUCAAAUGUUACCUCCUUAGGGAAGUCUUCACUGACUACCUUAUCUAAAAGAGCACCCAAUCCCGUAGUCACUCUCUAGCCCUUAUCUUGCUUCAUUUCCUUCAUAAUUCUUAUCACUGCAUAAUAUUAUGAUAAAUAUUUGUUUAUUGUCUAUCUCUUCCAGGAAAACAGGGAACUUAUCUGCCUUCCUUACUGCACUAUUUCCCUGUGUUUGGAUCAGUGCCUGGCACAUAGUAAAUAUUUGUCAGCAAGAAUGCACCGAGGAUUUGCAUGCCCUCAUGUUGUUCUUCACAUGAGAAUGAUUCAAUUGUUUGUCCCCAGAUCUGAAGUUGCUAAGCAAUCAGUUGUAUUGUAUUAUUCCCUCACUAAUAAACAAACAAAGAAUAAUUCUUCAUGCUUCAUAUCAUAUUGAAUUAGAUGGUUAAAAGGUUUGAACAGGUCAUGCUAGAUAUUAUUCCUGAAACAUCAAUGAAAUUCACUACUGCCCUGGAAGAUUACAUCUUAAAUCAUAUUUAAAAAAAAAAUUUUUUUUUUAACGUUUAUUUAUUUUUGAGACAGGGAGAGACAGAGCAUGAACAGGGGAGGGUCAGAGAGAAGGAGACACAGAAUCUGAAGCAGGCUCCAGGCUCUGAGCUGUCAGCACAGAGCCCGACGUGGGGCUAGAACUCACGGACUGUGAGAUCAUGACCUGAGCCAAAGUCGGCCGCUUAACUGACUGAGCCACCCAGGCGCCCCUACAUCUUAAAUCGUAUUAAACAAAAGUUUUAGAUCUACUCUUUGCUCUUUUCUGGGUGAAACUGUAUUAAUUUUAUUGAAUUGGAAGUAAAGACACUGAUCUAAAAUUUUGUGAAAUUUCAUUUGAUUAAAAAACUUAAGGCCAAUGUAAAAAGUAAAGAGGUACUUUAGACCUCUUGCUCUUUUCUUUUUUAAAAAGUUUUAUUUAUUUUGAGAGAGAGAGAGAAAGAGAAAAAGAGCAUAGGCAGGGGAGGGACCAAGAAGGGAAGAGAAUCCCAAGUAGGCUCAGCACUGUCCGUGCAAAGCCUGAUGCAGGGCUUGAUUUUGACACAGGGCUCGAUCUCACUAACCAUGAGAUCAAGAGUCAGCCGCUCAACCCACUAAGCCACCCGGGCGCCCUGAGACCCCUUGGCUCUUUAAUUCUACUUUUGGUUUAAAAUCUGGCCAGGGUGACAAUAGCAGGAUUGAAUGACACUGCGGCGUGUGGGUGACAAUAUCAGGAUUGAAUGACAUAGCUGCUUGUCUUUGUAAUGAGGGCAAAUGUAAAAUAAAAAGCAGGGCUUAAAAAAAAUACAUUGUGUAAAUGGUGUUGUUUACUUUGUUACCUGGACCCCUAGAAUCUUCACCAAAACUGUCAGUUGUGGAUACACCUCUAAAGUACUUGUAAGGAUGCUUUAAACUUCAGAAAUUCAGAAAGUUCACAAAAGAGAUUGAUGAAGAAUUAUAGAAAUCACAAUUUUUAUAAAACUUAAGGAUAAAUGUUUUAAAGUGUUUGUUUUCCUUAGCAAAAUGUUUCAAACCCUUGAGAGAAUAAACAAGAAAUGUCUUUAUUAUUUUCAGUAACUAUCCCCAACAACAUCAGGUAGAAUUUCCUUGUUUCCAGAGGGGUGGCUCCUUUAAUGAUAUGUUACAUAUAUAUUCUGUGAUUUUCAGACACUUUAUUAAAACAUAACAACCUAAGAUUAAAUAAUCAGUCUUGUUAACUUGAAAGCUUCAAUCUCUAGCUCAAUUCAAAACUCUUCUGCCCUCCUUCUCCUGCCUACCACCCACCUUAGUACAGGUAAAGCUCUAGUGACUUGGAGGCAGUAGGGGAACAUCCUGGCUCACAGAUACCUGUUUUCCCUCCCUUCCCAGACUUAGUGCCCUCGUUCAUGGCAGAAAGAAGGGACAAAGAAAAGGGCAAAGGCUUCCUUACAUGAAAGACAAAAGGGCAAAUGUUUCUCUACUUGACUGGAAUACUUACCAGUAUCUCGUGAAAUUAGUCUGAGGAACCCAGUUGGUAUCCUCCCUCCCUCUCUUCUUUUUGUAAUUUUUGAGUCCACAAGGAACUACACAGAUCUAUGCAAGUUCCUUAAAGCAGUACAGUAAGUAUGUCUGUUGUUGGUUCAUUCAAAAUAGAGGCUUUCUCCUCCCUCUGCUACUAUAGUAAGAGGUUUUUAAGAAAAAAAGAAGGAAGGAAGGAAGGAAGGAAGGAAGGAAGGAAGGAAGGAAAGAAAGAAAGAAAGAAAGAAAGAAAGAAAGAAAGAAAGAAAGAAAGAAAGAAAAAAAAAGAAGAGAGAAAAAAAUUCCCUGGAACAAUUGUCUUUUGAGAUGAGGCUACCAGAAAAGGUCUUCCCUCCUAAUUAAAAGUCUUAUGUGUUAUGAUUUCUUUUUAUUCUACAUUAUCAAAUAUCUCCUCAGUGGCAGCUGCUGAGCUUGUAAGUCAAUGGCUGCUUUUCUGAGUUUUGCCACUUAACUGUUUCUAUGCCCACUUACGUGGGUUAUGCUUACGAACAGUGAUUUCCUAAUUGUAGGCUGCUUCAUUAAAAGGAAAAGAGAAGAUAUGGAGAUAUUUCUCCAAGACCAUCACCAUCACCAGUCAAAGGUAUAGCAGAUGGAGCAACUUUUAAAAUCCAGAAACUAAUAGCAACUAAUAUUAUUUAUAUUGAUGACAUACAAGUGUUUUAGAAUAUACGGUGUAUACCUCUAGUCUAGGUGGUCUUUUAUUUUGUUUUCUUAAAUACUAUUUCAUUUUUUAAGUAAUCUCUCCACCCAACGCGGGGCUCAAACUCACAACCCCAAGAUCAAGGGUUGCAUGCUCUACCUAUUGAGCCAGACAGGUGCCCCAGGCAGUCUUUUAAAAACACCUGAAAUGAUAAGUUCUAGCUACUUCAUAUAGAGUUGGACACCUUAUUAAAAACAGAAAGUUACUUGAGAAUUAUUAUAAAUGUUUAGCAACUAUCUUCUUGUAAACAAUGUCUUUAAAAACUCAUAGGCCUUAAAAAUCCUGUAAUCGUAGAAGGGAUGUCAUCCCAGCAACUGAAAAAGAUUAGCUAAUGUUUAUUUUAUUUAAAAAAAGUAUUCUUACAGUACAAAGUACAACAUAAUCACUACUUGAUGCUAUAAAAAUGUAAUAAUUUAAGAAUAUGUUUCACUUUCCUGCCUUACCUGACUUUUUAUUUCUCAACAGAAAACAUGUAACAGCCAGUGAGCACACUUGUGUUUGCUGUCAUUUUUAAAUGGCUUUUAUAUUAUCUAUUAUUUUCUUGUAUUUUUCCCUCUCAGAUGCUCCCUUAAUAAUUAGCUUCUCUAUUCAAAAUUCUUAGAUUACAUGUAGUAUUUCACAUAAAAAUACUAUCAUUAUAGCAACUAGUAUUUUGUGAUUGUUUGCUUUAUUCUACAUUAUGCUAAGGUUUACAAAGAUCAUCUCAUAAAAUGUUAACAACCCUGAAAGACAUGGUAAUCUUUCUAUGUACAAUUUUAAGGUAACAAAACUGAGGCUUGGAGAGGUUAAGCAUCUUGCCUAAGGGACCUCAGCUUGUGUGUAUUUUAGUUGGAUAAAAUUUCAGGUCUGAGCUAUUCUAAAACCCCAAGUUCUUAACCUUUGCUUCUCCAAUCCCCGGUGAUUCAGUAAUAUAUUCUUGAACGUUUGUGAUUUCUCCUCAAAAACCUUUAGUUUUGAGGUUUCAUUUCAAAAAUAACUUGAAAAUGUAACUAUACUUUGGAUCACAGGGAAGACCAUUAUAUAAAUACAAACUUUUCACCUGAUUUGAAUACCAGGUUUUUGUGUUUAUAACUGAGUUAGUGCCAAGCUAUAAAACUUAAAUUGCCCUGGGCUACAGUAGAGAAUAAAAACAAACAAAUGAAUGAUGCAUACAUGACAGGCAAAGGUCAAAUAUUGUUCCUGCUUUGUUCUGGAACAAAGAUUUUUUUAAAAAAAAUUGUAACAGAGAAAACUAAUGGGAAAAUUGAAUUAUCAUAUAGUAAUGUAGGCAUUCCAAAUUACAACAAACAUGUGCUGUAUUAAUUUCCAAUGACUUCCAGCUCAGCAAAACAAUAGUCUUUGUUGCUUUAAAAUUGAUGUUAUUAAUUUCAAAUAUUUUAGUUUAAUUUCUAUUAUUUCUGGUUUAAUAGUUAAAAAGGAGCGAUCAGUACAGGUUUACACCAAAUUUUCUACGUGCACAUAGCACAUAUUAGGGUAACUUUAAAAUGUUUAUCAUAUUGGAUACACACAAUAAUUCUUAUAGGGUAUUCCUAUAUUAUUCAAGAUUGAGGAACAGUACUACAUAAUUUGUAUGGCUGGUGCAUAAUAGGAACUCAAUAAUUGUUAGUUGAGCCAGAAUUUUAAUGAUCUAUCUAGGUUCUCCAUAUUUAUUCAUUUGAUUGAUUCAGCCAAACUACCUUGGAGUUUCUUUCUCAUAAUAAAUGCACUGAACCUACAGUAGGUUUUAGUGUUUAUCUUAGACUUUUUCACUAGUGAACACUUAAGAGAAUCUCAUGGAAUCUAUGGACUCUUUCCCCCAAAAGCCCCCCCCCCCCACGCACACACACACACAGAUAUAUAUCACAAUAUUAUAAACUACAUAAUUAAAAAAGAGAGAACUGGCUGUGAAGUUGGAAAUAAUUUAUAUGAUUGAAGGCAACCUUUCUUAGAGAUUCCAUUUCCUCAUCUGUACAGUGUGAAUACUACUUAUCUCAUGUUAUGCAGCUGAAUAAAAUCAUGUAAUUAUGGUGCUUGCAAUUUAGUAGAUGCCAAAUUAAGUGGUAGCUAUAAUUAUUAUCAGGCCAAUAUUGAUCUCAUAUUUUAUCUCUAAUUACUGUUUGAGGUUUUCUUGUGCUGAUUGGUUUGUUACAACUACUUUCUAGUUCCAUGGAUCUUAUAUUUUUCUCACCGGUUACCUUAUUUGUUUUUUCUUUUUAGGCUACCUAUUUUUACAGAUGAUAGUGAUCCACAAAAGCACCGGCGAGUAAUAACAUCUAUAAUGUUCAGGUCAGAAUACUAAGCAGCUUUAACAUUGCUGUGAUCAAUAUGAAAGCUGAUGAGCAAUAAAUAGUAAUUCAAUACAAAGAUAAGGAUAUUUGAAGGGCAAAAUAUGGGUCACAAGUUUAAACUGGAGAUCUGCUACAAAUAAGAACAUGGAGGAAAUUAUACUAUUAGAUAGUUUCUUUGAGAAUUACAUGACAAUAAAAGACGUGUGGCACAUAACUGAGUCAAUCACAUUUGAAUAAUGAAUGAUAAAUGGAUACCACAUCAGAACAGAACAUUGUAUUCAGAUGAGAAAGCAUUUAUUCUUUUAUUGCCAAAACUGGUUAUAUUAAAAGCAUCCUUUUAUGUUUAUAUCUGGAAACCAAUUCUAUGAGGCUGUAGAAAAUUUAUGAAGAGUUCAGAAAGAAUGUCAUAAAAAUAAUGCAAAACUUUGGAAACAUAAUUGUAAGAGAAAUCUUUACAUAAGGAUUUCUAAGGAACUGUUCAAAUUCUUUUACUUAUUUUCAUUAUUAUUUUGGCAUUUUUUUCAUUUUGGUAUUUUUAAGCAUCAAAUAUUGCAUGAAAUGUAUAGGUGAGGGGUUGAAGAUAAAAAUUUUUCUAUGUGUUUGAUAUAGUGUCACUAUAGACAUUGUAAUGAGAUUUCACAAAAUGCUGAUGUUUAAGAUUCACAAGUACUAUAAAAUGCUUUUAUAAAUAAAUAGUAACUUCAAUAUGAGUAGAAUAUAUUAAGAAGCAAUCUUAAGAAGAAUAUGUACAAAUGGUGCCUGGGUGGCUCAAUCAGUUAAGUGUCAGACUCUUGAUUUCAGCUCAAGUCAUGAUCUCAUGACUUGUGAGUUUGAGCCCUGCAUUGGGCUCCACGCUCACAGCAUGGAAUCUGCUUGGGAUUCUCUGUCUCCCCCUCACUCUCUGCUCUGUCUCUCUCAAAAAUAAACAUUUUUUUUUUAAAAGAAAAAGAAUAUGUACAAAAAAAAACAUAUUCCCCCUCCUCAAAUUAUGGCCUUAUUAGAGAUGCUGGUCAUUUAUCAUAAAUGACAAUGACUCAUUUUAGAAUGGUGAAUGCUUGAAGUACAGUAUGUCCUGGCUUUUUUUUUUUUUAUUUUUAGAUCUUAUACUCUUACAAUUUUAUGCAAUUUUUACAAACAUGCAUAGAAGCUAAGCUAGUGAUCCAGUAACAGAUUUUAUUAGUUCUACUGAAUUUGUUACAGACUGGAAAGGUGAGCUAAAGGCUUUAUUCUCUUCCUAUUUUGAAAGAUGUCAAAGUUGAACACUGGUAUAUUUAACCUGUUGCUGACUUUUCUUAAACUUUGCAACUUAAGGCAUCCUGGUAUAUGUAUUAAUUAAAUAUUUGUCCCUCUUACUGAACAGACUUCUCUAUGAUAACAGUUUUGUUUGUUUAAAUGAAACUGGUAUCAUGUGUACUCACAGAAAAUUUCCAAUGCAGGUUUUGAGAAGUGAAUUAACUAUUCAUGUUUAACCAGGUAAUUGACAGUUUUUUUUGAAACAAAGUUUUUAAACUAUUUACUUUUGAUUUCAAAGAUGACUGUUUCUGAUGUAUACAGAACGUGUGUAAUUUUUUUGUGGCAGAUUUUUGACUGUUUUCAAGCACUGUAAUGUGUGAUGGAUGGUUAGAAACAAUAAUAUAUUAGUUUCUACUUACCCUUUUAGGACUGAACUAUAUCUACUUAUUUAAAAAAAAUUUUGGUGUGUUUUAAGUAAUCUCUACAUCCAACUAGGGCAUGAACUCAUCACCUGGAAAUCAAGAGUCGCAUGCUCAUGGACUGAGUCAGCCAGGUGUCCUGAAUUAUAUCUCUUUACAAAACUUUACCCCUGCAUUAUGUUUGUCAGCAUUCAGGUGGUCCAGAUGUAGGUUUAUAGAUUCAUUUUUAGUUUACUUCUUGCACUUUGCAGCAUGCUCUACACAUUUAGUCCUUAAGGGGUUUCUUUUACAAACUCUGUGGCAUAACAUUUAUUAGCAAUCAGAUAGAAAACUGAGCAAAUUUAUGCCAUAAUUUUGUAGGGAAAAAAUGUGCUAAGCUCUAUAUUUCAUCCAUGAACAAUUUGCAGUGUGAGCACUUUCAAGGAAUAAAAAUAAAAAAGCAAUGUAAAACUUUUAGGUUAAACAUAAAACAGUUCUGGGGCACCUGGGUUGCUUGGGUGGUUAAGCGUCCAACUCUCAGUUUCGGCUCAGGUCAUGAACUCACGGUUUCCUGGGUUCGAGCCCCGCAUUGGACUGUGUGCUGACAGUGCAGAGCCUGGUUGAGAUUCUCUCCCUCUCCCUCUCUGUCUGCCCCUCUCCUACUCAUGUGGUCUCUUUCUCAAAAUAAGUAAACUUAAAAAAACAAACCAAAAAAACAUAAAACAUAAAUAGCUCCUGAGAGUAAGAAUUAUUGAAUAGGAUGGGAUCAGUUCAAGUAGGGGUGUUUCUUCCAGGACCAAGGCUUUCUUAAGAUCUACAGAUUUCAUAACCUUUACUGUUUCAUUGUCUUUGUAAUCUUCAUUUUCUUUUAUACUGAAUGUAUUUUCACUUUAAGUUCCUCAGUUACAAAACAGGUUAAUAUUCAGCAUUUGAAUGGCUAUGACUAAGGCCAUUAGUAUUUAAAAAGCACAGAUAAUUCUUUUUUCAAUCUAUUGUGUACAUAAAUUGCUUUUAUUCCUGCUAUCAUGUCAGUGUUUAAUCCGUUUUUCUUUAAACAGAAAUGUAUUGGCUGAUUUCUCAGGUUUUAUUUAAAAAAAUUAAAAAACAUUUUUUUAAUGUUUAUUUUUAUUUUUGAGAGAGACAGAGUUGGGGGGUGCAAGGGAGAAACAGAAUCUGAAACAGGCUCCAGGCUCUGAGCUGUCAGUAUAGAGCCCAAUUUAGGGCUCAAGCUCAGGAACUGCGAGACCACAAACCGAACCAGUCAGACGCUUAACCAACUGAGUCACCCAGGCACCCCUAAAAUUUUUUUUUAAAUCUUUAUUUUUGAGAGAGAGACAGAGUGCGAGCCAGGGAGGAACAGAAAGAGAUGGAGACACAGAAUCUGAAGCAGGCUCCAGGCUCUGAGCUGUCAAGUACAGAGCCUGACACGGGGCUCGAACUCACAAACUGUGAGUUCAUGACCAGAGCUGAGAUCAGACACCUAACCGACUAAGCCACCCAAGCAUCCCAUUUCUUGUGUUUUAGAUUGAUUUACUUCUAUAUUCAUUGAUUCUGGAAACUGUUGGGGGAGGGAUUUUUACUUAAGUGGAAGAUAAUUUAUAAUUCAUAUGUGGGAUAGAAUUGGCACUAAGAAAAUAUCUUAACCAUGCAUUAAAACAUUCAACAGUUAAUGUAGUCGAGAAAGCAAAGUAAAAAAAGUUAUUUUGUUGAUUCUUUUACCUGAUAUGGGAAAAAACUUGUAUUGUAUGAAAGUGAUCUGAAUAGGUAAAAACAUUAAUUUUGAGAGGAUUCAUAAUUUUUUUGAUCCAUAAUUUAAAGUAAUUAUCUUUGCAAGAUGAGAGCAGUGAUGUUACGUGAUAAAAGUGGACAUGAUGAAAGAUAUACUACAAACGGUUCUACUUAUUUUUUCCUUUUUGGUGCUGACUAAACUUUGGAAAUGGGUUGAUUAGCAACUUCUUAAAAACCAUCUAUUGUCUCUUUUGCUCUGCAUUUUAAAACACUCCAAAAUCCUGCCUCUUUAUUCUACAUAAUUUCCACUAGCCCCCUUCUGCUUAUCUGAGUCUGGUUCUAGUUGCUGGCCCAUGCUCAUUUCUGCUUCUAAGCUGACCCAGAUUGUGUUGUGUCCCCCCAAAAUUUAUGAGGUGCUAAUCCCCUUACCUCAAAAUGUUAUUACAUUUGGAUAUAGGAACUUUAAAAAGGUAAUUAAUGUUAAAUGAGGUCAUAUGGGUAUGUCCUAAUCCAAUAUGACUGGUGUUCUUAUAAAAAGGGGAAAUUUGGAAACAAAUUCACAUACAGGGAGAAAACCACAUAAACAUGAAAAGGGCCAUCUAGAAGCCAAGAACAAGGCUCUGGGAAGAAACCGUCUCAGACUUCUAGCCUCCACAGCUGUGAGCAAAAAUGCAUUUGUUGUUUAAGUCGCCCAAUCUGUGGUGCUUUGCCUGUGGCAACCCCAGAAUGUACAAUCUGCCUUUGCUCAUGUUAUUCCCCUCACUGAAAAUGUCCCUUCCUUUCAUCCCCAGCUAUCCAGUCAUUCAACAUGGAAAUUAAACAGCUACUUGGUGAAAUUAUCUGACACAACAGUCCUCUUUUUUUCUGCCCUAACAGAGAAUUUAGUUCGAACUACAGAUUUUAGCAGAUCCUAGCACAAAAUAUGGUAGAUGUAAGGAUUUCAGGAGUUAACAUAGGUAAAAUGCUUACAACAAUGCCUGGCAUGUAGUCAAUCGUAAGUGUUUGCUACAUCUGUUGCUGCUAUUACUAUGUCUUCAUUGGAAGAUAAAAUACACAAUAAUUGAUAACUAUUUGUGAGGCAUAGGGAAGAAGGAUAAAAGAUAUCAGGCUUGGCAACUGAGUAUGUGAUACUAUUGUUCCAAAUCAUUCACUCGGUUUUAUAAAGAGAGAAAUAGCGUUUUUUAUUACUAUUAUACAAAAUUUUUAUUCUAUGAAAAUUAAAAAAUGAAAUAGAAAUAAUGAUAUAAAAAUAGCUCUAAAUAAAAAUACUUUUGCAAGGUUGAAUUAACCCUUUGCACAUAUCCUGUUAGAUCUCUGUGAGACUACAAAUCUCUACAAAAUUGGAAUUACAGUUGACAACACAGGUUUGGACUGCAUGGGUCCACUUACACACAGAUUUUUUUUUUUCGAUAAAUAUAGUACAAUACUGUAAAUGAAUUUCCUUGUAAUUUUCUUAAUAUUUUUUUUCUCUAGCUUCCUUUGUUGUAAAAAUACAGUAUACAAUGCAUAUAACAUUCAAAAUAUGUUGACUGUUUAUAUUAUUGGUAAGGCUUCUGGUCAAUGGUACACUAUUAGCAGUUUUUAACUAUGUGAGGGAGGAAGUUAGGCAUCCCAACCCCUGCAUUAUUCAAGGAUCAACUGUACAUUUUAAAACUUCCUCUUUACACUUAAUAUAUCAGGUCAAUAACAUUUCUUCCACAUCAUUUUUAAUGGCCGAAUACUGUUCUAUGUGUGUAGCUUAAUUUACUUAAGGAGUAUCUUUAAAAAAAUUUUUUUUAAUGUUUAUUUUUGAGAGAGAGACAGUGUGAGCUGGGGAGUGGCAGAGACAGAGGGAGACACAGAACCUGAGGCAGGCUCCAGGCUCCGAGCUGUCAGCACAGAGCCCCACUUGGGGCUCGAAUUGUGAAUCGUGAGAUCAUGACCUGAGCCGCAGUCAGAUGCUCAACUGACUGAGCCAGCCAGGCGCCCCUAUUUAAGGAAUAUCUUAACAAACAAUACAGGAAUGAAUACUCUUGCAAUCAAAUUGUUACACAUAUUCUUAUUUCCUUAUGAUACAUUUCUAGAAGAGGAACUUCAGGGUCAAAUGCACAUGCUCAAGGCUUCUGAUACAUACUGUCAAACUGCACUCUAGAAGUGUGUGCCAUUUAUAUACUCGGAAGUUUAAGAAGCCCUAUUUCUCUGAACCCUUGCCAGUACUAACAAGACAUAAUCACUUGUUAAAAUAACACCUGAAAACCAAAUUAAUGUGUAACAUGUGUUCUGUCACUCACUCCCAAGAUGGACUAUUAAACUUUUAUAUUACCAUUCAAAGCUUAAGAUUCUUACCUACAUUUUAGAUGAAGAAUCUGAGAUCCAGUAAGUUACAUAAUAAAUCAGACCACUACAUAAUGGAAAUUUCUGCCCCAUAUACGAUAUUGAGUAUUCUUUCUGAUUUGCCAGUCAGCCUUACCAAUUAAGUUGUUUUUCCUAUAAUAGCCUUGUCAAUUUCCCCCAAAAAGAUAUACAUCUUCAUUAUCCAGGGAUGGAAGCUAGUACAUUCCAUUAGUUUAGCACAGUUUUUCCUAUCUGCUUCCCAGCUUGGAUUUUAUUUACUUACUAAAAAAAAUAUAUAUAUUUUUUUAACAUUUAUUCACUUUUGAGAGAGUGAACGCAGAGCUGGGGAGGGGCAGAGGGAGAGGGAGACACAGAAUAAGAAGCAGGCUCCAGGCUCGGAGUUGCCAGCACAGAGCCCAACACAGGACUCCAAUUCAUGAACCGUUGAGUUCCUGACCUGAGCUGAAGUGGGAUGCUCAACCGACUGAGCCACCCAGGUGCCCAGGAGUUUACAUAUUAUGUGAAGGAAACCUUUCAAGACAUUUAAAAAAAAAAAAGCUUACCUAAUUUUAGAAAAGAAUCUAUUUCAUUCAUUCAAUGGUUUAUUUAUUCAAUGUUUCAUUCAUUCAACAGUACUUAGCUAAUGUAUACUAUGUGUGGGGGAUAAAGCAGUGAUCAAAAUAGAUGUAGCCCCUGCCCCCAUGGAACUUAAAUUUUUAGUGGGGUAAAGGGAAACAGAUAACAAACAAUAAAGAUAAUGAUAAAUUAUAAAUGUUAUUUAAAAAUAAAUGGGAAAAGGAGAUACUUUAAAAAUGGUGGUGAAGGAAGGCCUGUCAGAGAUUCUUUCUUUUUUUAAAGUUCUUAUUUAUUUGAGAGGGAGAGAGAAUGAGAGUGUACAGGGGAGGGGCAGAAAGAGUCCUAAGCACUGACAGUGCAGAGCGUGAUAAAGGGCUCGAACUCAGGAACCAUGACAUCAUGACCUGAGCCCAAAAUCGAGAGUCGGAUGCUUAACACACUGAGCCACCCGUGUGCCUUGAUUUCUGAGUUAAGACCUGAAGGAUGAGAAUGAGUUAGCUACAUAGACACCGAGAAAAUACAUCCCAGACAGAAAAAAAUAAUAGUGCAAAAGUACAAAGGUCCUGAGAUGGAGUAUCAGUUAAAAUUAAAUUCAGUUGAGAAGAGACCCUAGAGUUUUAAAUAAAAUAGAAAUUUAUUUUCUCCUAUCCAAAUCUAAAUGUAGGGGCGCCUGGCUGGCUCAGUCGGUUGAGUAUCUGAAUCUUUGAUUUCCAUUCAGGUCAUGAUCCCAGGGUUGUGGGAUCGAGCCCUGCGUCUUUGGAGCCUGCGUGGGAUUCUCUCUUCCUCUGCCCCUCUCUUCCACUGGUGCUCACUUGCUCGAACUGUCUAAGAAAAAAAAAAAAAGGUGCUCUCUCUCUCUCUAAACCACCCCCCC